AACUCUUAUUGGCCUUUUGGUUAAGAUCAAGUGUAGUAUCUGUUCAUAUCAGUUUAAUAACAGGGACAAAUGCAAGAUACUUCACUUAGGAAGAAAAAAU
ensembl:snRNA U2 U2 spliceosomal RNA